rnacentral:rRNA from 1 species
UGUUGUUUUCUCGAAAAUCAAUUAAAAAAGACUGGAUUUUGUGUUGUAUUGACUUUAUCAGCUUUCUGCACUCUUUUCUUGUCUUUUUUAAUGCACUUUUCGUUUAACAAGUCAACAUCAAUUUCUUUUGUUGUAAAAGGGUCAUUGGAAGGUGGCUUUCUUUUCGGAGAAAGUGUUUAUAGCCUUUGGCCUCUGCAAUCGGAGAGAUUGAGGUCUGCAGCGUAGAUCCUUCGGGGUUAGAUACAUUUGUGCUAAGUUAUAGCCUUUCAUAGACAACUUGUUGACUAUGAUCAGUCAUGUAGCUUACUCGCUUAUGCUAUUUUACCUAC